GGACGAACCCUAGAAGGCUAGAACUCUAGAAGAGAGCGGCAUCGGGGGAAAUGGAGGAGCCGACCGUGGAAUGAGGCGUGGCGCAGCUCGGCCGUGGCGCGUCCAGGCCCAUCAUAGAUGCGCGUAUCAGGAGCCGACCGGGCGAUGAGGCGUGGCGCGGCUGUGGCGUCCAGGGCGGGGAGGGGGACGAGGCAUGGCCGUGGCGUCCAGCCGCUGCGCAGGAGAAGCCGUCCAGGAAUUGUGACGACGCGCUGCGAGGCCGUGGCGUCCAGGCCCCCUACGGAUGCGUGCGGACGGAUGGGUACCACUGGUGGUCGGCUCCCCCGGAGGCGAGGUGGGAGCGGCCAUGGCGGCCAGGUCGGUGGCAGUAGCGGUUGCUCGCUGCGUCGGCGAGGUGGGUGAAACUGAGAAGCGGCCAUGGCAGCUAGGUGGUUGGCUCCCUCCACAGAUUCACACUCCAUUUUGGAGAAACUUGCAGAACCUAUUAACAAGGAGGAUGCAGAGACAAGUACAUGAGGAUGGGGACUCCGCUGGUGAGGGAGCGCUCGGGAACGCGGACUAUAAACCCUUGACUAUGUAGUUGUGGCAUUUCUAGCCAUGUUGGCUGUUGUCCUCAUAUAUACCUGCUACUCGAAGAUGCCAGUCCCACAUGACAAUGUGAUCGUGUAGUAUCAUGUGUUCUGUUCUUGUUUCUCUUUUUGGAUUGAUCUUUGGUGUUUUAUCACUCCAGUGUCGUGGAAUAAGCGGUUUUGGGUGUUGUUUGUAUUAUCUAGCUGAAUUUGGUGAUGAAUGUUGUGGAGAAACAGAAUGGAAAAUCAGUGGAAAUGAUUAUGUGGUUUAUUUU